rnacentral:rRNA from 1 species
CCUACGGGAGACAGCAGUGGGGGAUAUUGCACAAUGGGGGAAACCCUGAUGCAGCGACGCCGCGUGUGGGAAGACGGUCCUCUGGAUUGUAAACCACUGUCCCCAGGGACGAAGCUGACGGUACCUGGGGAGGAAGCUCCGGCUAACUACUUGCAAGCAGCCGCGGUAAUACGUAGGGAGCGCGCGUUGUCCGGAAUUACUGGGUGUAACGGGAGCGUAGGCGGUACUGCAAGUUGGGUGUCAAAUCUACCGGCUCAACCGGUAGCCGCACUCAAAACUGCAGUUCUUGAGUGAAGUAGGGGCAGGCGGAAUGCCUAGUGUAGCGGUGAAAUGCGUAGAUAUUAGGAGGAACACCAGUGGCGAAGGCGGCCUGCUGGGCUUUUACUGACGCUGAGGCUCGAAAGUGUGGGGAGCAAACAGGAUUAGAUACCCUUGUAGUC